AUAGUUUCUUUUGCUGUUCAGUAUACCUUCAUUCUCGAUUGCACAGUCGGAACUGUCUCGGAACUGAAUUCUGACACACUCGAUUGUUGUUUACCUGUUAGAACGUUUUGAAUUCUCAAUCGAGCUAGCCUAUCAAUUACAUUCCAGAAUAGUAUCCAAGGUCACGUUGUUAUUGUGUCUAAGUUAUGUUUCUAUGUUUCGAAUUGGCGAUACAUACCUUGUGAAAAUAAUACCUUUAUUGCAUUUUUUCACACUUUCGAGAAUUCACGAAGACGUGCCUUCAAAGUUCGGCGUAGGAUCAUUCUAUGUAAAUUGAGACCUGCAAAUAUCAAAUUUACAAAUACGCAGUUCACAACUAAAUCCGCAAGAAUCAACAAAACGGUCCACGAUACGUUACAUGAGUUGCAGACUUGUUUAAUAUCGGUUGAAGAUAUUCCAAAGCUUACUGUAUUCCGAUCAAGGGGUAAAAAACUACACGUUUAACAACAAACGGUUAUUUGUUUUCAAACAGCUGGCCAGUUAUUACAGGAAACACUUUAAUGUAGAUCUAAUUGUUCCGGUUUUAUUUCACGUGACAUUAAAUAGAGUGAAGGUUUCAAGAACAUUUGGACGUACUCCUGAAAAUAUAUCCCAGAUAAAUAAAAAGAAAAGAGUAAGAACUUCAGAAGAACCAAGACGUUUUACGUUCGUUCCACAAAAGAGCACAAACAAAAAUGUGUUCCGACUGAACAGUCCAGAAU